rnacentral:lncRNA from 1 species
CCUGUACAUGUAGAUAGAUUUGUCAUGGAUUCGAUCCUUGCUUGAGAAGAUAGCACCACAUCUGGCUAGUCUUACUUUUAAGGCACGUUUUGCCUUUGAGAUACGCUGCAAUUUACUACUUACAAGCUGUUGGUUGCUCUGCCUUGUCGAGUCGCUGAUGACCAUAACCAUUUGCAGCUUGUCGUUGGUGGUUCCUGGCAAGCAAGUGAAGCCCAGCUGGCAUGGCGGCCAACCUGCCCUUCCUGCCGAAUGCGAGCAGCUCUCUAGUUCUCUCAUGUCUGCUGCACGCACGCACCCUACUGCUCUCUGGUGACUUGCUACGCACACACUGCAACAACAGGUAGAGCUGCCUUUCAUCUCCCUUUAUACUGUUGGUCAUGGGGUGGUACUGCUCCUCUCCCUUUCUCGGAUCAGUAGCUGCAUCAUUCCCAAAUAAAUGUGUGCUUCUAUUUAGAUUCUGCCCAUAACAUGUUUGAUGUUAUGCUGAUGAGGAGUUGAACUUCAUUUUUUCUAGGUUCUUCUUUGGUGUAUCAGGCCUGGUGUAAUUUGUUUUCAAAAGUGAGCUUGUUGUACAGUCCAAUUCAUCUGGGAAUAUUAACUUAUGGAGAGUUCUUCGUGAUGUUGCUUGCAUAUAUUUCUUUUGUCUAACAAACUGGAUGCUUAAAUUUUGGAUAUAAACAUUGAGUAGGUGCUAAAAUGUUUUGCUAAUAAUAGUUUCCAACUUGCUUUUAGCAGAACUACAUAACUAUAAAAAUACAUCAAAACUAUUAUAGCUCAAUCAAUUUGCAUAUUUUAAUUAUGUGUACUCAAAAUUGAAACUGUUAUCAGAAUUGUGAUAUUGUGCAUUGGCUUGCUGAACCCUUGUGCUGGCUAGAAAUGCAGAAUUGUGAUAUUGUGCUGGGAGCACUCUUGCUACAGUCAUUAGCUCAUAAGCAUCAUACCAUAUGUUUUCUUAUAAGCAAACUAUAUUGAUGGUUGCAAGAUAAGUUAAAAUAUACUAGUGCUACCUUGAAAUGUCAAAUACAUGUUCGCUCUCAGCUGGGAUAUUGGAUUGUACUUAGUUAUGUGGCUCGUUCAUGUUCACGCUGCUUGUUAAGUGAUUACCUUUAUGUACUUGCUACAAGUAAGAUGGUCAAUACAUGCUUGUUUUGUAUCUAUUCUAGAACAGUUUGCUUGGUCGCCUAAUGCUUGAUGCAUGUAUAAUGUGACUCACACAUCAUGAAAUCUGAAUAACUUUGACAUAGUUGCUCUGUUAUCUUGCACUGGGUUGAUACUCGUCAUUUUCCCUUCCCAAAUAUAUCUCAGUUUUGCUGUUAUGAGAAUGCUAUAUGCAUGGUUUCUUAUUAGAUCUCAAAUUCUGCAGCUAUUUUUCAUUGUUAGGAGAAUGUUGUAUGCACGGCUUCACUUGAUUAUAUUCCUAACUUUUCUGAUUUAUAACUCGCAGAUUUUGGCCUUAAUUCGUCAAAAGUUGCUGUACAAGGAACUACAGGAGAAGAAUCCUAAAGAAAACUUGCACCCAACAAUGUGUUUUAGCUCCCUGCAGCUGGACAUGUUAAUAUUUAGUUGUAUUUUAUAUUUCAAUACCUGAUUUGUAC